rnacentral:rRNA from 1 species
AGCGAACGCUGGCGGCGUGCCUAACACAUGCAAGUCGAACGUGAAAGGGAGCAAUCCCAAGUAAAGUGGCGUACGGGUGAGUAACACGUAGGUAAUCUACCCCAGAAUCUGGAAUAACCGGCCGAAAGGCUGGCUAAUACUGGAUAGAGCGACGGAAUCCGUAAUUGGGUUUUUCGGGAAAGGGAGCCUGUAAAAAGGCCUUCGUUCUGGGAUGAGCCUGCGUCCCAUCAGCUAGUUGGUGAGGUAAAAGCUUACCAAGGCAAUGACGGGUAGCUGGUCUGAGGAGACGGUCCGCCACCCUUGGACUGAAACACGGUCCAGGCUCCCUCGGGAGGCAGCAGUGGGGAAUCUUGCGCAAUGGACGAAAGUCUGACGCAGCAACGCCGCGUGAGUGAAGAAGGCCUUCGGGUUGUAAAGCUCUGUCGAGUGGGACGAAAAUGCUUGGAGUUCACAGCUCCAGGAACUGACGGUACCACUAAAGGAAGCACCGGCUAACUCCGUG